CUCCGUCAUGAUUACAUUUAGCAGAACUACAAGCUUUGAUCGGCGCUGCGGCCUGACUGGAAAGCCGUAAUUAAAGGUCUAAACUUAGAGCCGUAAAAGGUUUUAGCGGGACGGGAUGCGUCUCUCGCAUCACUCAACAGGAAUAUUCCGACCCCUGCUAAUGUGACAGAGCCACGGGAAACCAGCAGGCGAAGAACCUCGAGAUCGGUAGGAAACAUGCGAGCCUCCACUGGAGCUUUUCCGCCUCUGGUACGUCUGCGGCUGCGGGUAUUGAACCUGGACCUGUCCUGAAUCAACGGAGGUGCCAAAGGUCAUGGACCUCAAGAUUCGCUCCGACUCUGAUGAGCCGCCUCUUUUUUCUCCUUGGUGUCGUCUUCGUCCCACAAACCGUGACACUGAGGAGGAGGAGAG